AGGAGUGUAGUUCAAUGGUAGAACAUUAGUCUCCAAAACUAAGUGCUGUGGGUUCGAUUCCUAUCACUCCUGCCA
rnacentral:tRNA from 1 species